rnacentral:rRNA from 1 species
CCUACGGGUGGCAGCAGUGAGGAAUAUUGGUCAAUGGCCGGAAGGCUGAACCAGCCAAGCCGCGUGAAGGACGAAGGUGCCAAGCAUUGUAAACUUCUUUUGUCAAGGGACAAAAUCAGGCUCGAGAACCUGACCGAGGGUAUUUGAAGAAAAAGGAUCGGCUAACUCCGUGCCAGCAGCCGCGGUAAUACGGAGGAUGCGAGCGUUAUCCGGAUUUAUUGGGUUUAAAGGGUGCGUAGGCGGCCUGUUAAGUCAGGGGUAAAAUCCCGGGGCCAAACCCCGGCGCGCCGUUGAAACUGGCGGGCUUGAGAGUACUAGAGGUAUGCGGAAUGCGGGGUGUAGCGGUGAAAUGCUUAGAGAU